GUAACUUCUCGUGCCCUCAAUGCGGGUUCACCAAAACCAUAGCAUGUUGCAGAUGUUACAUAGGUCAUGUAAGUGCAUCUCCACAGUUGAUUUACAUCCUCCACCAGGGUUCGAGGUGAGAGGACACAAUGUCGUCAUCCCAGUCGAGCUGGUGUUGUCAAAAUAACCGGCAGUGUGCUGACCUACAGCUUCUGUACCGAGCUGAAGGACAGCUGUUUACUGACCACAUGAAUCAAACUUUACAAAGCUGAGGGAGUGAGUCAAUAGCUGCAUCGCCAAACUAUGACGGGCCAAGCUGCUGGUACGUGACAAGCAGGCCUACGGGGUUAGAAACAAAGAACAGACCCUGCGGAAAAGAGACAAGGGACACAGAAGGAGCAAACAUGUGAAAAAAAAUAUUUCCCCCGCACCGGGGUAAAAUGAGCAGUUACAUAAUGCCAUAAUGUCUUGGAUGGUUCUCGCUUGCUACAGAUUGCUCAUUAUCUUGCAAUAACAACGUGCUGUGUAAAGUAAAAACGAAAAGAAAGGAAGGCAUGUCGGCGUGUGUUAGGCUGGACUGGCUGGGCAGCC
ensembl:lncRNA